UACGGAGGGGGCGAGCGUUGUUCGGAAUUACUGGGCGUAAAGGGCGCGUAGGCGGCCUUGUCAGUCAGGCGUGAAAGCCCCGGGCUCAACCUGGGAUGUGCGCUUGAUACUGCAAGGCUUGAGACCGGAAGAGGAUGGCGGAAUACCCAGUGUAGAGGUGAAAUUCGUAGAUAUUGGGUGGAACACCAGUGGCGAAGGCGGCCAUCUGGUCCGGAUCUGACGCUGAGGCGCGAAAGCGUGGGGAGCAAACAGG
rnacentral:rRNA from 1 species